UUUAUUGGAGAGUUUGAUCCUGGCUCAGGAUGAACGCUGGCGGCGUGCCUAAUACAUGCAAGUCGAGCGAAUGGAUUAAGAGCUUGCUCUUAUGAAGUUAGCGGCGGACGGGUGAGUAACACGUGGGUAACCUGCCCAUAAGACUGGGAUAACUCCGGGAAACCGGGGCUAAUACCGGAUAAUAUUUUGGACCUCAUGGUUCAAAAUUGAAAGGCGGCUUCGGCUGUCACUUAUGGAUGGACCCGCGUCGCAUUAGCUAGUUGGUGAGGUAACGGCUCACCAAGGCAACGAUGCGUAGCCGACCUGAGAGGGUGAUCGGCCACACUGGGACUGAGACACGGCCCAGACUCCUACGGGAGGCAGCAGUAGGGAAUCUUCCGCAAUGGACGAAAGUCUGACGGAGCAACGCCGCGUGAGUGAUGAAGGCUUUCGGGUCGUAAAACUCUGUUGUUAGGGA
rnacentral:rRNA from 1 species